GGACUACCGGGGUAUCUAAUCCUGUUCGCUCCCCACGCUUUCGCGCCUCAGCGUCAGUAUGAUGCCAGGUGGCUGCCUUCGCCAUUGACGUUCCUUCCGAUCUCUACGCAUUUCACCGCUACACCGGAAAUUCCACCACCCUCUCAUCUACUCCAGUUAGAUAGUUUGCGAUGCACUUCCCAGGUUAAGCCCGGGGCUUUCACAUCACACACAUCUUACCGCCUACGCGCCCUUUACGCCCAGUAACUCCGAUUAACGCUCGCACCCUCUGUAUUACCGCGGCUGCUGGCAC
rnacentral:rRNA from 2 species